rnacentral:rRNA from 1 species
CCUACGGGAGACAGCAGUGAGGAAUAUUGGUCAAUGGACGAGAGUCUGAACCAGCCAAGUAGCGUGAAGGAUGACUGCCCUCUGGGUUGUAAACUUCUUUUAUAAAGGAAUAAAACGAGGCACGUGUGCCUUUUUGCAUGUCCUUUAUGAAUAAGGAUCGGCUAACUCCGUGCCAGCAGCCGCGGUAAUACGGAGGAUCCGAGCGUUAUCCGGAUUUAUUGGGUUUAAAGGGAGCGUAGAUGGGUUGUUAAGUCAGUUGUGAAAGUUUGCGGCUCAACCGUAAAAUUGCAAUUGAUACUGGCAGUCUAGAGUACAGUUGAGGUAGGCGGAAUUCGUGGUGUAGCGGUGAAAUGCUUAGAGAUCACGAAGAACCCCGAUUGCGAAGGCAGCUUACUAAACUGUGACUGACAUUGAUGCUCGAAAGUGUGGGUAUCAAACAGGAUUAGAUACCCUUGUAGUC